CUAGUUGGUGAGGUAACGGCUCACCAAGGCUUCGAUGGGUAACUGGUCUGAGAGGACGGCCAGCCACAUUGGGACUGAGAUACGGCCCAGACUCCUACGGGAGGCAGCAGUGGGGAAUCUUGGCCAAUGGACGAAAGUCUGAGCCAGCGACACCGCGUGGGGGAUGACGGCCUUCGGGUUGUAAACCCCUUUUCUGGGGAAAGAAUAAGGACGGGAGGAAAUGCCCGCCCGAUGACGGUACUCCAGGAAUAAGCAUCGGCUAACUCUGUGCCAGCAGCCGCGGUAAGACAGAGGAUGCGAGCGUUAUCCGGAAUUACUGGGCGUAAAGGGCGUCUAGGCGGUUCGGUAAGUCGUUUGUGAAAUCCCUUGGCUCAACCGAGGAGAGUCUUGCGAUACUGCCGGGCUUGGGUGUAGGAGAGGAGGGUGGAACUCACAGAGUAGCGGUGGAAUGCGUAGAUACUGUGAGGUACCCCGAUGGCGAAGGCAACCCUCUGGCCUACUACCGACGCUGAAGCGCGAAAGCGUGGGGAGCAAAGGGGAUUAGAUACCCCCGUAGUCCACGCCCUAAACAAUGUUCACUUGGUGUCGGCCGCUUAUACUGGUCGGUGCCGAAGCUAACGCGUUAAGUGAACCGCCUGAGGAGUACGGCCGCAAGGCUAAAACUCAAGAGAAUUGACGGGUCCCUGCACAAGCGGUGGAGCACGUGGUUUAAUUCGACGAUAAACGAAGAACCUCACCCAGGCUUGACAUACUAGUGGUAGAAACCUGAAAGGGGGCCGACCCUGCCUUCGGGUAGGGAGCUAGUACAGGUGAUGCAUGGCUGUCGUCAGCUCGUGUCGUGGGAUGUUGGGUUCAGUCCCGAAACGAGCGCAACCCUUGUCGUUAGUUGCCAGCGGGUAAUGCCGGGGACUCUAACGAGACUGCUGGUGAAUAGCCGGAGGAAGGCGGGGAUGACGUCAAGUCAUCAUGUCCCUUAUGCCUGGGGCGACACACAUGCUACAAUGGGGGGUACAAAGGGUCGCAAUCCCGUAAGGGGGAGCCAAUCCAUAAAAACCCCUCUCAGUUCGGAUUGAGGUCUGCAACACGACCUCAUGAAGCCGGAAUCGCUAGUAAUCGCGGGUCAGCCAUACCGCGGUGAAUAUGUACUCAGGGAUUGUACACACCGCCCGUCACACCAACCGAGUGGGGGGUACCUGAAGUCGCUCUUCUAAGGGCGCCUAGGGUAACUUCCGCAAGAGGGGUGAAGUCGUAACAAGGUA
rnacentral:rRNA from 1 species